rnacentral:rRNA from 1 species
GUCUAUAGCCAUACCACCCUGAACAAGCCCGAUGUCUGAUCUCGGAAGCUAAGCAGGGUCGGGCCUGGUUAGUACUUGGAAGGGAGACCACCUAGGAAGACCAGAUGCUGUAGGCA